UACGGGGGGGGUUAGCGUGCGUCGGAAUUACUGGGCGUAAAGCGCGCGUAGGCGGAUCAGAAAGUUGGGGGUGAAAUCCCGGGGCUCAACCCUGGAAUGGCCUUCAAAACUGCUGGUCUUGAGGUCGAGAGAGGUGAGUGGAAUUCCGAGUGUAGAGGUGAAAUUCGUAGAUAUGCGGAGGAACACCAGUGGCGAAGGCGGCUCACUGGCUCGAUACUGACGCUGAGGUGCGAAAGCGUGGGGAGCAAACAGG
rnacentral:rRNA from 1 species